CUUGAAUUUGAGGGUCUUAAUUGACUCAAUCAGUUCAAAUCUUUCACAUGAAAUUUAAUUAGGCCAAAAUCAGCCUUAACCAUACAUACAUGUACACCUUUAUAUACUCAAAGGAUUCUCUUUUUGAAAAUAAUAAAUACUAUAUUUACUUUUCAAUCAAUAGUCAAAUUGUAAAUGGACAAUUGUAGUGGAACUGGCUCAAGUACACCCCCCCCCCCAAAAAAAAAGAGAAAAGAAAGUAAAAAUAGCAGAAAUAAGAAUAAUUACCCUUUUCAAUUAUUUUGGCAGGGUCUGCAACUUUAUGUUGACUCUCAAGCGUCUCUGUAAUGUCUAAAUUUUUAUUUUGCGUCUUUACAUAAUAAAACUGACUGCCAAAGGAAGCAAGUUAUUUUGUUUGCUUUUUGCACUAAAUUAUGUUCAUGCAAGAAAGGGC
rnacentral:lncRNA from 1 species